rnacentral:lncRNA from 1 species
GUAGGAAAUGAUCCCAGUGCAUGUUGAUAUUCUUCCUGCACCGUUUUUCAUCUACAACUUCCAUGCAGUUCCUGAAGGUAACAGUAGAUGGCUCCACGUUCCUUGUCGUUGAAAGGGCUGGUGCAUUCUAGCAGAAACAGUAGGUGCUGGUUUAGAAAAGUAAAAGGACAACUGGAGUUCUGGGGGAAAUUUUUUGAGAAAUUGGUUGUUUGUGAUUGUGGCAAAUUACUGAACUUUGGGAGGUGGCAUUGCUCAUGAUAUACAGUUGCAAACAUACAAAGCCAGUCGGUCUUAUUUCCUUAUGUCUUGGGUGCUGUUUAUGAUGAGAAUUAAUUGUAAUUUUCCCAGGGGAAUAAAAAUGAUCUUCUGGAUAAUCAAAAUCAUCAUCAUCUAAUUA